AUUGAACGCUGGCGGCAGGCCUAACACAUGCAAGUCGAACGGUAACAGGAAACAGCUUGCUGUUUCGCUGACGAGUGGCGGACGGGUGAGUAAUGUCUGGGAAACUGCCUGAUGGAGGGGGAUAACUACUGGAAACGGUAGCUAAUACCGCAUAACGUCGCAAGACCAAAGAGGGGGACCUUCGGGCCUCUUGCCAUCGGAUGUGCCCAGAUGGGAUUAGCUUGUUGGUGGGGUAACGGCUCACCAAGGCGACGAUCCCUAGCUGGUCUGAGAGGAUGACCAGCCACACUGGAACUGAGACACGGUCCAGACUCCUACGGGAGGCAGCAGUGGGGAAUAUUGCACAAUGGGCGCAAGCCUGAUGCAGCCAUGCCGCGUGUAUGAAGAAGGCCUUCGGGUUGUAAAGUACUUUCAGCGGGGAGGAAGGGAGUAAAGUUAAUACCUUGGCUCAUUGACGUUACCCGCAGAAGAAGCACCGGCUAACUCCGUG
rnacentral:rRNA from 1 species